rnacentral:lncRNA from 1 species
AGCACUAACUCCCUCUGGUGAAUAAAUUUGGAAUAAACUGUACAAUUAAUAAUUAAUAUUUAAUUUGAGCUAUGGUGCCAUCAUCAUUUUCUAGAUCUUCAAAUAUAUAUGAAGGAAGGAAGGAUUAGUACUAGCAUCUAUAGGAAGCCAACAUAUAGAGUAGUCUUGACACCAAAUUGGUCAAAUGACCUGAUAGACUAUAAACAGCAUGGUUAUGAUAGACCUUUUCUUAUGCAAAUAUUUAGGCAGGUUAAGAGGAAUCUAUGUAGAGAAGAGGAGGAUAACAAUGAGAAGAGGGAUUUCUUGCCAAUUCCCUACAAUCUUAAAAACCUCAGGAUGGUUCAGAAGUUAGUAGAAUAAAAUAAAAAACAGAUAGCUCCAGAGAAAAAUCCUAUGGUGUUUAAUGUUCUAAGAAAUGAAAAAGACCUGCUAGAGCAAUAUGAGAGAAGAGGUUUGUAUAGAGUGCCCAUAACUGACAACAGUACAAAAGAAAGAUCACCAUAUAUUGGGGUUACUUCAAGAACAAUAGAAAAACGAAUCAAGGAGCACAAGAGAGGAAUAAGACAAGCAAAAUUAAAUACAUCACUGCCCCUAGAAGCUUCUAGUAAAGACAUCAGUAUAGAGUGGAAGGAUAUUAAGUGAAUUAAACCUGUGCCGAACUGCACGCAGCUAGUUGUUAUGACUGAGUGUAUAGAGAUAUUAAAAAAGUUAAGAAAAGAAAAGCUAAUUAAUGAUAGAGUAACCUGGGAGCCUCCCCAGCUUGGAGAUAUUUUAUAGAUGAUUAUAAGGAAGAAAGUAGCAUGAAAAUGGUUAAUAGGACAGUGCAAGACAAAGGAGAUUGAAGAAGGAUAUGAAACAGGAUUAAUGUUGGUAGGACUUUAUGAGCCUUUAUGUAUAUGUUAAGGAAAUUUUGAUAUGGUGAUUAAUUCUAGUUGAUUUUGGAAUAUAGAAUUUUGAAAUAUAUGAACAUUAAGAAUGUUUUGGAUUACAUAAUGUUUUAUAGUUAAAAAUGUUAAAGUUGCUAUGGUAAUGCUAUUUAG